GCUACUGCUAUCAGAGUUCGAUUAAGCCAUGUUAGUCGAGGGUGCUUUCCUUAGGGGAAGUAACCGGCAGACGGCUCAGUAACACGUGGACAACUUACCCUUGGGAUCGGGAUAACCCCUGGGAAACUGGGGCUAAUACCGGAUAGAGCAUUGAUUGCUGGAAUGCAUGAUGUUCGAAAGCUGAGGCGCCCAAGGACAGGUCUGCGGCCGAUUAGGUUGUUGUUGAUGUGACGGAUCAACAAGCCUACGAUCGGUACGGGUUGUGAGAGCAAUAGCCCGGAGAUGGGUUCUGAGAGAAGAGCCCAGGUCCUACGGGACGCAUCAGGCGCGAAAACUUUACAAUGUGCGAAAGCACGAUAAGGGAACUCUGAGUGCCUCCUAAGGAGGCUGUUCGGGUGUCUAAAAAGCACCUGAAGGAAGGGCUGGGUAAGACCAGUGCCAGCCGCCGCGGUAACACCGGCAGCCCAAGUGGUAGCCAUGCUUAUUGGGUCUAAAGCGUCCGUAGCCGGCUAAGUAAGUUCUUUGGGAAAUUUGACCGCUUAACGGUCAAGCUAUCAGGGAAUACUGCUUGGCUUGGGACCGGGAGAGGUCAGAGGUACUCCAAGGGUAGGGGUGAAAUCCGUUAAUCCUUGGGGGACCACCGGUAGCGAAGGCAUCUGACCAGAUCGGGUCCGACGGUGAGGGACGAAGGCUGGGGUCGCGAACCGGAUUAGAUACCCGGGUAGUCCUAGCUGUAAACGAUGCGGGCCAGGUGUUGGCAUUACUGCGAGUGAUGCCAGUGCCGAAGGGAAGCCGUUAAGCCCGUCAUCUGGGGAGUACGGCCGCAAGGCUGAAACUUAA
rnacentral:rRNA from 1 species